rnacentral:lncRNA from 1 species
AUGGAGAGCACCAGCACGCCCGAACCACGGUGGGGCCUGCCGGCGGCACCGCUCCGGCCCACCCGGGCCCGACGCUGCAGGCUGCUGCCCGCCCCUCGGCGGGGCCACCCCGACCUUAGUGGGAGAAGAUGGAGAGCAACUGCACGUGAGUCGCGGGGGGGGGGGGCGCCGGACACUCCGAGUCGCCUUCACCCUAGUCGCCGCCGCCGGCGUGGCAGGAUCUGGCCCCGAGCGGCUGGACAGCCAGGCCCCGCCGAAUCAGCCGCCGCCCCCCCCCACCUCCUCCUCCCUUGCCCCGACCAGCCGGAUGCGGAGGAGGAGGAGGCGGAGCCAGCGGAGGAGGAUUUUUCUUUUUCUUCUUCUUCUUCUUCUUCUUCUUCUUCUUCUUCGUGUGGCUUUGGACUCUCCGGCCCCACCGGCCCCCGCAUGGGACGGCCCGGUCUUCCCCCGCUUUUCCCCGUCUUGGGCCCUCCUCUCUUGCCCUCGCCCCGGCUCUCUCCCCCUGGCCUGGCCUGGCUCUGCGCGCCCUCCCUUCUGGCCCGAGGCGCCCCCUCGGCCCCUGCCCGGCGCCGUAUCCCGCGUUUGCCCAGCCCUUGUUGGGGCCUCCUCCCAGCGGCUCCGGCCCUGCCCUUUGGCCCCGGCUCCCCUUUGCCCUCCGCCGCUGGCUUUUCGCCCGGCCCCCCUUGGUCCCGGCCUUGCCCUUUGGCCCCUCGUACCACCCUUUCCCCUCUAGCCGCCCCCGCUUGUCCUCCCGUCCCCUGGCCUCGGCCUCGUGCACCGCAGUCUACCUGGCCUCCGCUUGGUCCCCGGCCUCCGGUCUUCC